GAAGAAACUCCCAUAUUUACUCUGCAGACUCUUCCAACUGACCUAAAAAUCCUGCGGGAACAACAGGCUACAGUUGCCCCCGAAGAAAUACAGAAGUGGAAACAGAAAGGGGCAGUUCUGAAGGAUGGAGUGUACUCCAACAACCUCAAGUUCUGCCUCCCUAAGAAUUUGUACCCAGCAGUCGUACAAUGGGCACACGGAC